CUACAAUGGCGCAUACAAAGAGAAGCGACCUCGCGAGAGCAAGCGGACCUCAUAAAGUGCGUCGUAGUCCGGAUUGGAGUCUGCAACUCGACUCCAUGAAGUCGGAAUCGCUAGUAAUCGUGGAUCAGAAUGCCACGGUGAAUACGUUCCCGGGCCUUGUACACACCGCCCGUCACACCAUGGGAGUGGGUUGCAAAAGAAGUAGGUAGCUUAACCUUCGGGAGGGCGCUUACCACUUUGUGAUUCAUGACUGGGGUGAAGUCGUAACAAGGUAACCGUAGGGGAACCUGCGGUUGGAUCACCUCCUUACCUUAAAGAAGC
rnacentral:rRNA from 3 species